UACGAAGGGGGCUAGCGUUGUUCGGAAUUACUGGGCGUAAAGCGCACGUAGGCGGAUUGGUCAGUUAGGGGUGAAAUCCCGGAGCUCAACUCCGGAACUGCCUUUAAUACUGCCAGUCUAGAGACCGAGAGAGGUAAGUGGAACUCCUAGUGUAGAGGUGGAAUUCGUAGAUAUUAGGAAGAACACCAGUGGCGAAGGCGGCUUACUGGCUCGGAACUGACGCUGAGGUGCGAAAGCGUGGGGAGCAAACAGG
rnacentral:rRNA from 2 species